rnacentral:misc_RNA from 1 species
GAUGAAGAACGUAGCGAAAUGCGAUAAGUAAUGUGAAUUGCAGAAUUCAGUGAAUCAUCGAAUCUUUGAACGCACAUUGCGCCCGCCAGUAUUCUGGCGGGCAUGCCUGUCCGAGCGUCAUUUCAACCCUCGAACCCCUCCGGGGGGUCGGCGUUGGGGAUCGGCCCUCCCUUAGCGGGUGGCCGUCUCCGAAAUACAGUGGCGGUCUCGCCGCAGCCUCUCCUGCGCAGUAGUUUGCACACUCGCAUCGGGAGCGCGGCGCGUCCACAGCCGUUAAACACCCAACUUCUGAAAUGUUGACCUCGGAUCAGGUAGGAAUACCCGCUGAACUUAAGCAUAUCAAUGCGGAGGA